rnacentral:rRNA from 1 species
UAAGCAUAUCAGUAAGCGGAGGAAAAGAAACUAACCAGGAUUCUCCCAGUAACGGCGAGUGAACGGAGAUUAGCCCAUCACCGAAGUCUAUCCGCGCUUGCGGACAGGACAAUGUGGUGUUGAGACCGGCUCCUGGGAGCGCUUCCCUACUCGAAGUCCAUCUCCGAUUCUGGCUUGGACUAGUGCCAUAGCGGGUGAAAGACCCGUGCGGGUAGGCUGUGUGUGUGUUACAAGCGCUCCUCAGAUGUGCCGGUCCUCGAGUCGGAUUGCUUGAGAAUGCAGUCCAAAGUGGGUGGUAAACUCCAUCCAAGGCUAAAUACUGGCGCGAGUCCGAUAGUAGACAAGUACCGUGAGGGAAAGUUGAAAAGUACUCUGAAGAGAGAGUAAAUAGCACGUGAAGCCGCUUGCAGGGAAGCUGGUGGAGUCAAGCUUCAUGCUUGGUGGAUUGUCGUGAGAGAUGGGCUGAGAAGUCAUGGUGCAUCGGGCGAUGGUGUCGGUGAGCCUGGAAAAGGUUUGGCGCAUGCAAGUGCGCUGCAAGUCUCUCCGGGUAGAGUGUUUGUGCCGGCCCCAGUCCGCCUGUGUCUCUCGCGGCUUAUCCACCUCCGCAUACAUCACGGUCAAUAGGAUGUUGUGCUGUGCGAGUGCUUAACCGUGCCCCUGUGGACCUCACCGUCUGCUGGGCCCGGAAUGGCAGAAGGCACGUGUGGACCUCGCUGUCCGCACUGUGCGUAUGGUGGUUUUGACCUGCUAGUGCUCGCGUACAGUAUCCCUCCUAUUGGGCUUAUGCGAUGCCGGCUCUGCGGAGCGGGUGUCUGUGAGAACCGUGGUGCUGAGGUAGAUUUCCACCCGACCCGUCUUGAA